rnacentral:rRNA from 1 species
AUUGAACGCUGGCGGCAGGCCUAACACAUGCAAGUCGAGCGGCAGAGGGAAGUAGCUUGCUACUUUGCCGGCGAGCGGGGGGACGGGGUGAGUAAUGUCUGGGGAAACUGCCUGAUGGGGGGGGAUAACUACUGGAAACGGUGGCUAAUACCGCAUGACCUCGCAAGAGCAAAGGGGGGGACCUUCGGGCCCCCCCCCCUUCGGAUGUGCCCAGAUGGGAUUAGCUAGAGGGGGAGGAAAGGGUUCCCCUAGGGGACGAUCCCUAGCUGGGCUGAGAGGUUGACCAGCCCCACUGGAAAUGAGACACGGUCCCGAUUCCUACGGGGGGAGGAGGGGGGGAAAUUUGCCCAAUGGGCGCAGCCUGAGCAGCCUUCCCCGGUGUUAAGAAAGCCUUCGGGUUUAAAAGAGCUUUCGGGGGGAGGAAGGGGUUCGGGUUAAUGGCCCUGUGCAUUGACGUUAUUCGCGAAAAAAGCCCGGGAAAUCCGUGCCAGAGCCGGGGUAAAUCGGGGGGUGCAACCUUAAUCGGAUUCUUGGGGUAAAGGGCCACAGCGUUUUUAAGUCGAUUGAAACCCCGAGUUUAUUGGAACUGAUUUGAACUGGAGAUAUAGGUUUUGUGAGGGGGGGAGAUUCAGGGUAGCGGAAAGGUGAGAGACUGGGGAAAACCGUGGUCAGAGGGUCCCCUGACAAGACUGAGCUCUGUCGAAGUUGGUAGCACAGGUUGAUCCUGAGCCAGGCAAUCCCAUGGUUAGCGGGAUCAUAGUCUGACGCCGCCGGAGCUCAUUGCCGUGUGAGCGAUACGCCCCUGCGUCUUCACGCG